UGAUCCGGGAGCUCAGAGUUGCAGCAAGCUUAAACUUCCUUAAAAACAAACCUCUGGGAAGAGGAAAACGAGGCAAGAUGCUGAGAAAAAGUCAUCUCCCACUCUGCCCUUCUCUGGCAAAUCGAAGUGUCCUCUUGUGGGAGGCGGUGGGCAGCGACACUCCUGUUGGACGUCAGUGCUCUCGGGAUGGGCCCGGCCACCCCGGAGCAGAACUCACUUAGGGCCUGGUGCCCCUGUGCCCAGUUCUCAGAACGUCGGAGUGCUCAGUUCUCAGAACGCCGGAGUGCCCCAUUCAUAACCUGCAGCCCCGUUCAUAGCCACAGGCAGGGUCUGCUGGUUUCGGUGUCAGGGGCACAUCCCCAGGACCACGUCUGAGAUGGGAAGUGCCUUGAUGGAAAACUGAUACCUUUUUCUUUCCGAGUAACUUUAGAACAUGUCGCUUCAAAUAUAACUAAUAUCCUGAUUUCAGUGGACUU
rnacentral:lncRNA from 1 species